GUUUCCGUAGUGUAGCGGUUAUCACGUGCGCCUGACACGCGCAAGGUCCCCAGUUUAAUCCUGGGCGGAAACA
rnacentral:tRNA from 1 species